rnacentral:ncRNA from 1 species
UUGAGCGGCAUGAAGCGAAAGUUUCACGUGCCGUUCUGAGAAGAGGGGGAGAGAGCAAUCUUUCCUUCUUAUUCGGC